rnacentral:rRNA from 1 species
UACGUAGGGUGCGAGCGUUGUCCGGAAUUAUUGGGCGUAAAGGGCUCGUAGGCGGUCUGUCGCGUCGGCUGUGAAAACCCGAGGCUCAACCUCGGGCCUGCAGUCGAUACGGGCAAACUAGAGUACUGCAGGGGAGACUGGAAUUCCUGGUGUAGCGGUGAAAUGCGCAGAUAUCAGGAGGGACACCGGUGGCGAAGGCGGGUCUCUGGGCAGUAACUGACGCUGAGGAGCGAAAGCGUGGGGAGCGAACAGG